CUAAUCUGCGAUAAGCGCCGGUAAGGUGAUAUGAACCGUUAUAACCGGCGAUACCCGAAUGGGGAAACCCAGUGUGAUUCGUCACACUAUCAUUAACUGAAUCCAUAGGUUAAUGAGGCGAACCGGGGGAACUGAAACAUCUAAGUACCCCGAGGAAAAGAAAUCAACCGAGAUUCCCCCAGUAGCGGCGAGCGAACGGGGAGGAGCCCAGAGCCUGAAUCAGCAUGUGUGUUAGUGGAAGCGUCUGGAAAGGCGCGCGAUACAGGGUGACAGCCCCGUACACAAAAGCGCAUGUGCUGUGAGCUCGAUGAGUAGGGCGGGACACGUGGUAUCCUGUCUGAAUAUGGGGGGACCAUCCUCCAAGGCUAAAUACUCCUGACUGACCGAUAGUGAACCAGUACCGUGAGGGAAAGGCGAAAAGAACCCCGGCGAGGGGAGUGAAAAAGAACCUGAAACCGUGUACGUACAAGCAGUGGGAGCACAGGUUUACCUGUGUGACUGCGUACCUUUUGUAUAAUGGGUCAGCGACUUAUAUUCUGUAGCAAGGUUAACCGAAUAGGGGAGCCGGAGGGAAACCGAGUCUUAAUUGGGCGUUAAGUUGCAGGGUAUAGACCCGAAACCCGGUGAUCUAGCCAUGGGCAGGUUGAAGGUUGGGUAACACUAACUGGAGGACCGAACCGACUAAUGUUGAAAAAUUAGCGGAUGACCUGUGGCUGGGGGUGAAAGGCCAAUCAAACCGGGAGAUAGCUGGUUCUCCCCGAAAGCUAUUUAGGUAGCGCCUCGUGAAUUCAUCUCCGGGGGUAGAGCACUGUUUCGGCUAGGGGGCCAUCCCGGCUUACCAACCCGAUGCAAACUGCGAAUACCGGAGAAUGUUAUCACGGGAGACACACGGCGGGUGCUAACGUCCGUCGUGAAGAGGGAAACAACCCAGACCGCCAGCUAAGGUCCCAAAGUCAUGGUUAAGUGGGAAACGAUGUGGGAAGGCCCAGACAGCCAGGAUGUUGGCUUAGAAGCAGCCAUCAUUUAAAGAAAGCGUAAUAGCUCACUGGUCGAGUCGGCCUGCGCGGAAGAUGUAACGGGGCUAAACCAUGCACCGAAGCUGCGGCAGCGACACUGUGUGUUGUUGGGUAGGGGAGCGUUCUGUAAGCCUGUGAAGGUGUGUCGUGAGGCAUGCUGGAGGUAUCAGAAGUGCGAAUGCUGACAUAAGUAACGAUAAAGCGGGUGAAAAGCCCGCUCGCCGGAAGACCAAGGGUUCCUGUCCAACGUUAAUCGGGGCAGGGUGAGUCGACCCCUAAGGCGAGGCCGAAAGGCGUAGUCGAUGGGAAACGGGUUAAUAUUCCCGUACUUGGUGUUACUGCGAAGGGGGGACGGAGAAGGCUAUGUUGGCCGGGCGACGGUUGUCCCGGUUUAAGCGUGUAGGUGUGUGUUCCAGGUAAAUCCGGUUCACUUUAACACUGAGGCGUGACGACGAGGCACUACGGUGCUGAAGCAACAAAUGCCCUGCUUCCAGGAAAAGCCUCUAAGCAUCAGGUAACAUCAAAUCGUACCCCAAACCGACACAGGUGGUCAGGUAGAGAAUACCAAGGCGCUUGAGAGAACUCGGGUGAAGGAACUAGGCAAAAUGGUGCCGUAACUUCGGGAGAAGGCACGCUGACACGUAGGUGAAGUGAUUUACUCAUGGAGCUGAAGUCAGUCGAAGAUACCAGCUGGCUGCAACUGUUUAUUAAAAACACAGCACUGUGCAAACACGAAAGUGGACGUAUACGGUGUGACGCCUGCCCGGUGCCGGAAGGUUAAUUGAUGGGGUCAGCGCAAGCGAAGCUCCUGAUCGAAGCCCCGGUAAACGGCGGCCGUAACUAUAACGGUCCUAAGGUAGCGAAAUUCCUUGUCGGGUAAGUUCCGACCUGCACGAAUGGCGUAAUGAUGGCCAGGCUGUCUCCACCCGAGACUCAGUGAAAUUGAACUCGCUGUGAAGAUGCAGUGUACCCGCGGCAAGACGGAAAGACCCCGUGAACCUUUACUAUAGCUUGACACUGAACAUUGAGCCUUGAUGUGUAGGAUAGGUGGGAGGCUUUGAAGUGUGGACGCCAGUCUGCAUGGAGCCGACCUUGAAAUACCACCCUUUAAUGUUUGAUGUUCUAACGUGGACCCGUUACCCGGGUUGCGGACAGUGUCUGGUGGGUAGUUUGACUGGGGCGGUCUCCUCCUAAAGAGUAACGGAGGAGCACGAAGGUUGGCUAAUCCUGGUCGGACAUCAGGAGGUUAGUGCAAUGGCAUAAGCCAGCUUGACUGCGAGCGUGACGGCGCGAGCAGGUGCGAAAGCAGGUCAUAGUGAUCCGGUGGUUCUGAAUGGAAGGGCCAUCGCUCAACGGAUAAAAGGUACUCCGGGGAUAACAGGCUGAUACCGCCCAAGAGUUCAUAUCGACGGCGGUGUUUGGCACCUCGAUGUCGGCUCAUCACAUCCUGGGGCUGAAGUAGGUCCCAAGGGUAUGGCUGUUCGCCAUUUAAAGUGGUACGCGAGCUGGGUUUAGAACGUCGUGAGACAGUUCGGUCCCUAUCUGCCGUGGGCGCUGGAGAACUGAGGGGGGCUGCUCCUAGUACGAGAGGACCGGAGUGGACGCAUCACUGGUGUUCGGGUUGUCAUGCCAAUGGCACUGCCCGGUAGCUAAAUGCGGAAGAGAUAAGUGCUGAAAGCAUCUAAGCACGAAACUUGCCCCGAG
rnacentral:rRNA from 1 species